GUGCUAGCUUUAGCAGCACAUAUACUAAAAUUGGAACCAUACAGAGAAAAUUAGCAUGGCCCCCGAGCAAGGAUGACAAACAAAUUUGUGAAGCGUUCCAUAUUUUA